rnacentral:rRNA from 1 species
GAGAAUUUUUCACAAUGGGCGAAAGCCUGAUGGAGCGACGCCGCGUGGGGGAUGAAUGGCUUCGGCCCGUAAACCCCUGUCAUUUGCGAGCAAUGGUUUUCCGUUAACAGCGGGAAACUUGAUAGUAGCGAAAGAGGAAGGGACGGCUAACUCUGUGCCAGCAGCCGCGGUAAUACAGAGGUCCCGAGCGUUGUUCGGAUUCACUUGGCGUAAAGGGUGCGUAGGUGGUAGGGUAAGUUUGAUGUGAAAUCUCCGGGCUUAACCCGGAAAAUGCAUUGAAUACUAUUCUGCUAGAGAGUUGUAGGGGGGACUGGAAUUCUUGGUGUAGCAGUGAAAUGCGUAGAUAUCAAGAGGAACACCAGUGGCGAAGGCGAGUCCCUGGACAACUUCUGACACUGAGGCACGAAAGCUAGGGGAGCAAACA